GCUUCCUACGGGAGGCAGCAGUGGGGAAUAUUGGACAAUGGGGGCAACCCUGAUCCAGCCAUGCCGCGUGAGUGAUGAAGGCCUUCGGGUUGUAAAGCUCUUUUGGCGGGGACGAUGAUGACGGUACCCGCAGAAUAAGCCCCGGCUAACUUCGUGCCAGCAGCCGCGGUAAGACGAAGGGGGCUAGCGUUGUUCGGAAUUACUGGGCGUAAAGCGAGUGUAGGUGGUUGUCCAAGUUGGAUGUGAAAGCCUUGAGCUCAACUCAAGAAAUGCAUUCAGGACUGGGUGACUAGAGGACCGGAGAGGAUAGUGGAAUUCCCAGUGUAGUGGUGAAAUACGUAGAGAUUGGGAAGAACACCAGUGGCGAAGGCGGCUAUCUGGACGGUUUCUGACACUAAGACUCGAAAGCGUGGGGAGCAACCAGGAUUAGAUACCCUGGUAGUCCACGUCGUAAACGAUGGGUGCUAGACGUUGGCGAGCUUGCUCGUCAGUGUCGCAGCUAACGCGUUAAGCACCCCGCCUGGGGAGUACGGCCGCAAGGUUGAAA
rnacentral:rRNA from 1 species